CAGACCCGAAUACAUUCAAGCUGCACUCUGAGAGCAAGCAUCCCACGUCUCCAAUGGUCCCAGUACUGGUUGAUGUUCAAGCCUAAGUGAUCACACGCACUCAAAUGGACCUACAGCGGGGACACACGAUGACCACGAUUUGAAUGCUGCAACUGAGACAGAAUGACAUCGAGGGAUAUACGCUGAGACCCCGAGUAUGGCUGGACAUGGAAUGAAUAUUUGUGACAAUGACCUAAAAGGUGUGCAGAAGCACACCAGCACCCCAUUUUAUAUGUAUUACAUGUCCAACCAUCCCUCUAGCUACCCCUUAUUCCACACUAUGCCUUUUAUGCCCCAUGGUCCCUCAACUUCGGACACUUUGGAACGCGCCAUCUUAUCUCUAUAAACACACCCUACCUUCACCCAUUUUUUUUUUCUUCUCCCCAUGCUGCUUCCUUCACUUGUUCUUCUCCUAGUUUGAUAACAUCUAGACUCAGUACCACGUUUAAGUGUUGUGGUGUACUGUUUUGGCUACUUUUUUCCCACCUGUGUAAUGCUGCCCUCCUGCUUAUUCUUGGGUCCAGACUGAAAAGGGGUUGUGUUAAAAUUGGGAGGACAUUUCGGYUGAAUGCUUUCAGUUAUGCAACUGACUAGGUAUCCCCUUUCCGUUCCCCUUGAAUGCAGUGUUAAUAAAUGUGCUGCUCACAAUUGUCAGCAGCAAUGUGGACAGUGUUAAAUUGACCAGAAAGGUGUUGAUAUAGCUGCAUUUAGGCAUGGCCUAAAUCUGUUAAGUGUUUCUCAUUCUGCUAGAGUUAACUUUGUAUUUUAUAUUAAACCUACCUUACACAUCCA